GGGGGGUGGUGUUCAGUGGAAUAAGAACACAUCUCGCAGCAAAGGGAGGUCCUAAUCUAUUUCUGCCACGCCAUCGCUGCAGGUAUAGAACCCGUUGCGGUAUCAGCUGUGCCAACCAAGGGAAUAUCAAUCAAUCAUCAAACUUAUGUAUUCUUACCUCCUCCAUUGCUCUUAUCAAAACCUUAGUGGUGUUUCAUUUUCAUUGAAAACGUUGUGUUAGUUCUACCAUUCCUAUUUGGAUGAAAAAACUUAUUUAUCAAAUUAACCCUAUAUAUUCAGUUGGCUUGCACACUA